rnacentral:rRNA from 1 species
GUUGAACGCUGGCGGCAUGCCUUACACAUGCAAGUCGAACGGCAGCACGGGGCAACCUGGUGGCGAGUGGCGAACAGGUGAGUAAUGCAUCGGAACGUACCUUUCAGUGGGGGAUAACAUAGCGAAAGUUACGCUAAUACCGCAUAUUCUGUGAGCAGGAAAGCAGGGGAUCGCAAGACCUUGCGCUGAUGAGCGGCCGAUGUCAGAUUAGCUAGUUGGUGAGGUAAAGGCUCACCAAGGCGACGAUCUGUAGCGGGUCUGAGAGGAUGAUCCGCCACACUGGAACUGAGACACGGUCCAGACUCCUACGGGAGGCAGCAGUGGGGAAUUUUGGACAAUGGGGGCAACCCUGAUCCAGCCAUGCCGCGUGAGUGAAGAAGGCCUUCGGGUUGUAAAGCUCUUUCGGCCGGGAAGAAAUCGCACGGGCUAAUACCCUGUGUGGAUGACGGUACCGGAAUAAGAAGCACCGGCUAACUACGUGCCAGCAGCCGCGGUAAGAC